rnacentral:tRNA from 1 species
GGUUCUAUAGUGUAGUGGUUAUCAAUUUCGGUUUUGAUCCGAACGACCCCGGUUCGAAUCCGGGUAGGACCU